rnacentral:miRNA from 1 species
AUCAGAAUCACCUGAAAAGCAUGUUAAAACACGGAUUCUUGGUCUCUUCCCUGGUUUCUCAUUCAUUAGGUCUGGAGUAGGGUCUGAGAAUUUGUAUUUCUAACAAAUUCCCAAGUGAUGUUUAU